ensembl:snRNA U6 U6 spliceosomal RNA
GUACUUGCUUUGUCAGCACAUAUUACUAAAACUGAAAUGAUAUAGAAAAGAUUACUAUAAUCCCUAUGCAAGGGUGACAUGCCAAUUCUUAAACUGUUUUAUAUUUUU